ensembl:lncRNA
AGCCAAGGAGCAGGGUGAGGGGGUCAGUGGAUGGGAAAUUACUAACAAGGUAGGGUAAUUCUUUGCUAAACUGACCUAACAGGAUUCUUGCUGAAGGCAGGUCAGGGAGAUCAGACAUUACCUCACCGGAAGAGGAAUUCCAUCAGAUAUCAAGGGGGAUCAGAUGUUGAAGGCGGGGGAUUCUGGCUGAACUGACUUGAGAGGAUUCUUGCUAAAAUUGGGCCAUGCAAAUACGGAAAUGGAAGUCCAAAAGUGGAGGCCUAGGGGGCCAGACCCAGGGCCAAGUGGUUAAGUUUGCAUGCUCUGCUUCCGUAGCCUAGGGUUCACUGGUUCGGAUUCUGGGUGCAGACCUACACACCGCUCAUCAGGCUAUGCUGUGGUGGCAUCCCACAUAGAGAGACUAGAAUGACUUGCAAAUAGGAUACACAACUAUGUACUGGGGCUUUGGGGAGAAAAAAAAAUCGGAGGCCUAGUUGGGAAGGGGAUUUAGAGGAGACUGACUAUCAGGGACACUUUUUGUCAAGGGUUUUGUAAUCUUGGGUAGAGAAGGUUCUGGCAUUAGAAAGGCCUUGAUUAUGCGGACAUGAGGGAGGACCAAAUGAUGCAUUUGCUAGCAAGAUGUUGAGUUAAGGCUGGACCCAGAGCAGAGGUCACUUCUCUAAUCUCCUCCAGCGACAUCCGAACCCCCUCUAGACUGCAGGUGAUUCUGGUGAUGAUGGGGAUGGGGGCGAGGAGGAGAAAAGGGGUGAAACUGAAGAAAAUUGUGUGGCCAGGGGAAAGCUGCUUAGUAUCUCUAAGUCUGUAUUUUGACCUAUAAAAUGGGGGAUAUAAUAAUACCAAACUAUAGAUUUUCUGGGAGUAUUAAACAAGAUAAAGUGUUGAAGCCGUUUAGCAUGACAAUAGGCACAUUGUAAAUGCUCAAUGAAAUGUUGCCUCAUCAUCACCAUCAUCAUCAUCAUCAUCACCAUCAUCACCAUCAUCAUCAUCAUCACCAACAUCACCAUCAUCAUCAUCACCAUCAUCACCAUCAUCAUCAUCAUCAUUAAAAGUCGCCACAGAAACAGUGUUUGUGACUUCUAUAAUCCUCAAUUACAAUGUGUCCCUUUGACCUUGGCCAGAGAAGAACAGUGACAUCACCCAUGUUCUUUGAGCCAGAUGGGCCUCUUUUUUCUGGAAACUACUCCAGAACCUUCAGGGACCAGGACCAUGAAAACAAGUUCUGGGGACUAACAGGACUUAGAGGCGUGACCACCCCGCAGAGGAGGUCUAGGUCUGCUGAAAAACCCGGGGUGAAAAAAGAGGGGGUGUUGGAUCAACCGUUCUGGCUUGCUGAAGGCUUGGAGGCAGAGGAAUUUUUCUCAAGAAAAAUAAUAAUUUUCUUCCAAAAGCAUGGUGAAAUGUAAUGGAUUCAAGCCAGAACCCAGAGUUUUAUAAAAUCACAAAAAGAAGAAAGACUUUCCUACAGCUGAAAAUUUAAAUAACCAUAGCACCAAGCACUCUAUUGCCUUGGAUUCUGAUGAAAUUAGAGUAAGGUGGGUCAAGCAUGGAGGUAGUUUAACGGGGAACUCAAGAUCACCCCCUCUCAUCCCAUUCCAGUGAAGUAAAGGGAGGUUUCAACCUAACCAAACGGCACAUUGGGCUAAUGUCCAAUCUUAGCUGGAUGAUGUUCCGAAACAAUUUCCUCUGGGCCUAUCCUUGUUCACCCCUUAGCUUUUGCAUUCUACAGGACCUUAAAAGAAUGUUUAGUCCUUUCAUUUGAUAUUCAGAAGUACUCUGUAUGCGACAAUCAGGGCAAUAUCAUCUCCAUUUACUCUAUGUGUUGUGGAAGACACCUUCAGUUUUACCUUCUUCCUUCUUUACAAAACCUCAAUCUUGUUUCACUGUCUAUCUCUGCCUCGCAUGACUCAGAAGAAGGUGACCAUAUCUCCGACUUCAAGGGUAGCUCUCGAUUUGAUAACUCCAAUGCAAUGAUUGUUGCACUUGACUCAGCUUUGGCCAAUGAGGAGUGAGAGGAAGUUUGCUGGAUGUCUCUAGGAAAGUUUUCUUUGUUCCUAAGAAAGAGUCAGCCUGGAAAUUUCUGUGUCUGGAGUGACUCCUGGAGCUGCUGCUGUGAUCUUGCUACUAACCCAGUAAUAAAACCCGUCAAGAUGGCAGAGUGGAGCGAUGGGAAGAACCUGGAUCCCGGAGGACAUUUUGAGCCUCUGAGUAUGCUCAAUGGCAUCCAACCUCUGGACCUCCAGGUCUGUGAAGGAACAAUUUUCUGAAUUGCUUAGAGUUUUCUGUUACUUGCAGCCCAAAACAUCCUAAAUGCUAUGUGAGUAUCCUAGGACUCAGGAGUUAAGUGAAUUGCUUACGUCACCCAGCUAUUACAUGGAAGAGAUCAGACUGAGACCCAUAUUUCCCUACUCCUCAUUCAACUUUCUGCUUUCCUCUAUCCCAAAGGGACAAUUUUACUUUUCUGAAAUUAAUCACAGGAUAUACCAUCAUUAAAUUGAAUGUUUACAUCUCUUUCUUCCUCAGGAUAGUUAAUAAAACAACGGCCAGUAAUGACCCCCGUCCUGUAGCAGACAGAGCUUUCACACCCUCACUGAAAGGAUGAGGCCCACGCUGGAUGGAUGCUGAGGUCCUGGCUGUCUCCCAGAUUUCAUGUCUCUCUGGUUUCACUCCCUCUGCCAUCUUUGCUGAAAUGUCUGCCCUGCACCUUUUCUCAGCCCAAGCAUCAUAUAUUCUAAUUUCCAAUUGCUCUAACCUGUGCAGAAUUGGCCCACCUUUGUUUGGACAUCACUGUAGCAUCUACAUGCUUUUAUCUUAUUGCCAAGAUGCCUUAUUGCACGAUGAUUUUACUCAUCUGUUGUAUCAGGAUGCUUUCAUCUGCAAGAACAGUGACUAAAAUAACUAUGGAAUUUGUUUUCCUACUUAAUGAAAAGUCCCAUGGUUGGCCAUUCCAGGGCUAGUUCAGCCAUUCUGUCCUGCCUCAAGGCCCCUGGCCUUUCCUUCCUUGUGUGUGCCUUACCAUGCUUUGUAUAUUGGCCAUGUUGCUUCUCAUUAUUUAAAAAUUGCUGCCAUUGCCCCAAACACCAAGUCAUCACACAGUGAGGUCCAGAAACAGGACAAUAAAGGGGAAAAAUAUCCUUACCCCUUUUUUUCCCCACACAUCCUUAAUUAUUCUUUAUUCUUUUUUUUUCAGUUUUAUUGAGAAAUAAUUGACAUACAUCACUGUACAUGUUUAAGGCAUACAAUAUGAUGAUCUGAUUUACAUUAUAGUGAAAUGAUGACCACAAUUGUUCAGCUAACAUCCAUCAUCUCAUAUAGACACAAUAAAAAGAAAACUCACAUCUUUCUCUCUCUUAUUUUUCAGAAAAGACAAUCUCUCCUCAAACUACCCAAUAAUUUGCCCAAAGCCGCAGAGCUGGUAAUAUGGUGGAGCAGGGACUUCAAUGUGGACAGUCAGAUUCUAGACUGUCCAACAGAAACAUAAUGCAAGCCACAUAUGCCAUUUUAAUGUUAUGGUAGCUACGUUUACAAAGCAAAAAGAAGCAGGGGAAAUUAAUGUUUUAUUUAACCCAAUGGAUACAAAAGAUAAUUUCAACACAUCAUCAAUAUAAAAUUACUGAGAUAUUUUGUAUUUUUUAUACUAAGUCUUUGAAGUCUGAUGUGUCUUUUAUACUUAUAGUACAUCUCAAUUCAAUCACUAUAUUUUCAUUGGGAAGACGAUUUGUAUUUCUAGUUCAUGAAAUUUACAUUGAAAACAUAGAUACACGUCCCUAAGCUGUUCCGAAUAAACUUAAAGUUUCCCAGUAACUGAAUCAAGUAGAAGUUUUUACAUUGACAUUUAAAUUGAAGUUAAAUAAAAUUGCAAAUUCAGUUCCUCGGUCACACUAGGCACAUUUAAAACACUCAGAAGCCACGUGUGCUAGUGGCUACCGUAUUGGAUAGCAUAGUUCUGGAAGCUGCACACUUAAGCUCCUUUUUUGUCGAUUCCCUGUACCCAAGUUCACAGUUACGUGUUGGCAGGUGUGCAUCUGUAUUUAGGUGGUGCACAAUCUCUACAACUGGAAGACUGGGGACCGGCUUCGUCGUUGUUGCCCUGUUUCCGAUUAGCUCAGUUUGAUUGUGGGUGACCUCAGGUGAGUCGUUCUACUCCUCUGGGCCUCUGCCUCCUCAUUUGUCAAUGAGGGAGUGUGAUCUCAGUCAUCUUUUCUAGCUCUCGAAUGAUGUAUGAUUUCUCUCUUCUAAAAGAAGGAGGAAGGAGGACAUUAUUAAAGCUGUGGGCACCAGGGCGCACACACACAUUCUUUUCAAUGAAAUAGGUGAAACUGGUGUUGCCAGUCUCUGGCAGCUGCUGCAGUGCAGUGGGCAAGCAGGACUCGCACAGCGCUGUCUUCUCUCAUCUAGUACUGAGGGACGGGGUAAUUGUAUCUUUCUCCAGAAUGCCGGGGAUAAAGAAACACUGAAGCAUUGCCUGGGCUCCAAAUUCCAGGAAAUAUUGUGAGUUUUUUCCUUUAUAUACCUCCCCUUUUAAGGAAGAAAAUCCUGUACGUGAUGGAAAGCCCUGCGUUGGUUUCUGCAGUGGUUCUGAGUCGCUGGUUUCCUGGAGCGGGCUGUGUUCUUUUAUGUGUGAAAGAAAGGGCCUUUGGCUCCUUUAGACUCCCCACUGUUUAUUAUGUGUGCUCCUGGCUUGUUAGUCAGGAUGGGGCUUUUCAUUUAUUGGAUAGCAUAAAACCUUUGUUAUAUUUUAGCUACAGAGCUACAAAAGGAUGGCGAGGGGAUUCAAGUCGAACUGGAGAGUAACUAUGGAGGCUUGAGGCCCUGCAAGCCACAUGGUAAUUGGGUUUGACCAGAACUUGCCUUCCAAAUGGAGGAUGUGGAGCUGUCAGUGGGAUAAAACUUUAGCUCUCUGUGGGAAGGUCCCAGUUCCCAAAAACAAUUCCCCCAGACUGGUGACCUUUUACUAUUAGAGGUUCAUUUCUUUGGGUUUUGUAAGGUGGACAUAGUGAAAAUAGCCUCCUCAUGUGCAAAUGAGAGAUUCUAGUCUUAAGUAUGAAUUUUGGAGAAGAGGAUAAUAAGAAACUGAAUGGAAGAAGAAGGCAGGAGGGGGUGGGGGAACCGAAAGGACGCUAAGGGAAGAUGCUAAAGGCUGUCUGUCGUUUUGUAGUAAGCUAACACCUUACCGGAGUUUACACAGACCAGGAAAUAGGUAAAAAAUCUGCCACCAAUUUAUGCUCUGCUUAAAGGAAAGAUAGGCUUAAAGGAAGCAGAAUUGUGGGGUUUAGUUUCCUCAUUUCUGUAACCAGAGUGGGGAUUGGGAGGAAGGUGAUACCUCAUUUGUUCAUUCAUCUCUUCAUCCCUUAAUUGCGGUAGAUAGCUUUCAGAGACGCACACCAUCAGUUCCUGCUAAUGGGUUCUGCGUCCAAUUCCAGUGAGUGGGGAACGGGGUGUUCCCUACACCAACAAGCAAUUCUCCGACGCCAGCUGGUUGUCCUACAGUUCAACUCAGUUCUGACACUAUCCGCUGGAGACAGCCUCAGAUUCCACAGGUUAAGGGUUCGGUCCCACAGGACUGCCCUCCGCUUCAGAUGCCAAUCGCCUACCCUUUAGGAGGCUGCGCCGUGCUAUGCAGCAGCUCGGGAUGGACUGCUGGAUGACAAGAGCCACAGGGAGAAGGAGAGGUCUUGUGGAGGGGCCUGAGGUGUCAGAUUCUUUCUGGAACCUUCCCAUCCAGCCCAGCCUCAAUCGGAAUGCAGGUGAGUGAGUGACCCCAGCCAAUGCCACACGCACCCAGUAUUCGAACCAACGAAACACUGGGCCACCUGCAGCAGAGCGCGCGAACUUAACCACUCGGCCACGGGGCCAGCCCCUCCUUAAAAUUUUUUGUUUUCUAAUUAUUUGUGACAGUGCAUACAAAUAAAAUAGAUUUUUAUAUAUUGACCUUAUAUUCUAUGACUUUAUAUUCUGUGACUGUCACCUAUUAGUUUUAGUAAUUUUUUUAAAGAUUCUUUAGGAUUUUCUAUAUACAUGAUCAUAUUGUCCACGAAUAAAGAUGAUUUUACUUCUUCCUGUCCAAUAUGUAUGCCUUCUAUUUAUUUUUCUUGCUUUAUUGAGCUUGCAGUGACCUCUGGGACAAUGGUGAAGGGAAGUGGUAAGAGUGAGCAGCCUUACCUUGUUCCUGCUCUUAGGGGAAAGCACUCUUUCUUUCACCAUUAAAUACCAUGUAAGCUUUAGGGUUUUCAUAGAAGCCCUUUAUCGGGUUGAGAAAGUUGCCUUCUAUUCCUAAUUUGCUGAAAGUUUUUG